rnacentral:rRNA from 1 species
UGCAAGUCGAACGAGUUCUCGUUGAUGAUCGGUGCUUGCACCGAGAUUCAACAUGGAACGAGUGGCGGACGGGUGAGUAACACGUGGGUAACCUGCCCUUAAGUGGGGGAUAACAUUUGGAAACAGAUGCUAAUACCGCAUAGAUCCAAGAACCGCAUGGUUCUUGGCUGAAAGAUGGCGUAAGCUAUCGCUUUUGGAUGGACCCGCGGCGUAUUAGCUAGUUGGUGAGGUAAUGGCUCACCAAGGCGAUGAUACGUAGCCGAACUGAGAGGUUGAUCGGCCACAUUGGGACUGAGACACGGCCCAAACUCCUACGGGAGGCAGCAGUAGGGAAUCUUCCACAAUGGACGCAAGUCUGAUGGAGCAACGCCGCGUGAGUGAAGAAGGCUUUCGGGUCGUAAAACUCUGUUGUUGGAGAAGAAUGGUCGGCAGAGUAACUGUUGUCGGCGUGACGGUAUCCAACCAGAAAGCCACGGCUAACUACGUGCCAGCAGCCGCGGUAAUACGUAGGUGGCAAGCGUUAUCCGGAUUUAUUGGGCGUAAAGCGAGCGCAGGCGGUUUUUUAAGUCUGAUGUGAAAGCCCUCGGCUUAACCGAGGAAGCGCAUCGGAAACUGGGAAACUUGAGUGCAGAAGAGGACAGUGGAACUCCAUGUGUAGCGGUGAAAUGCGUAGAUAUAUGGAAGAACACCAGUGGCGAAGGCGGCUGUCUGGUCUGUAACUGACGCUGAGGCUCGAAAGCAUGGGUAGCGAACAGGAUUAGAUACCCUGGUAGUCCAUGCCGUAAACGAUGAAUGCUAGGUGUUGGAGGGUUUCCGCCCUUCAGUGCCGCAGCUAACGCAUUAAGCAUUCCGCCUGGGGAGUACGACCGCAAGGUUG